CAUUUAUCAAUUCCUACAUCAAGCACUAAGACCUUCAUUUCAUUUAGGUUUUUUUCUUCCAUUCGAAACAAUCACUUUGGAGAGAUAUAAGUAUAGAGUUGAUAUAUAUUAAGGCCCAACUGAAGAGGAUACCUAAGUGGGAACCACUCUAUAGCAAGACCAGAACCAUCUUCUAAAUCAGGUGUGUUUAUGUUCAAAUGUACUUUUGAGUUAUUAAACUAUGAUAUUCAUGAAAGCAAAAUGAAUGUUCAUGCUUCAAUAUUUUACUCUCUAUUGGGUAUGUGUUAUUAACUGGCAUGAAGUUGGCUUUGCCAAUUAACAAGGAGUUAACGAUCGUGCUCUAAGCUAGUACUAGCCAGAGUGUAGUGCGCACGGAAGUCAGAACUGGGUAGAACUUGGCCAGGUUCCUCAGUUCUGAUGAAGGGGAUCGUAUGUGGAAGAAAAAUCCUCGACAAUCAUACAGUUAUAAGUUGUACCAAUAGUAGAGGCAGUUAAAGAAAGUGAAGUUUUGUAUGCUUAUGAUGUAUGAUUUGUGUUUAAAAGCUUCAUAUGCAUAUUGUUAAGCAUGAAACAUUUUACUAUACUGUUCAUUUCAAAUGUUUUAUAAACGGUAAUAGCACACUGAGUACAAUAGUGCUCAGCUAAAUCUUUUUAAAAUGUUUGCUGGUUGAGCGGCGAAUGUGGAGUGUGGUGCUGAGAUGAAGAUCCUUGUUGCUAUUGUAUAUAACUAGUUCCUUUAAUGGAACAACUUUUUGUGUAUCUCCACCCGCUUCCUAUUUCGUAAAUCAUAACGACUCUUGUAUGCUUUGCUAAUGUAAAUUAAUGUUGUCUUACACUUUGGGUUCAGACCAUUCUCUACUCAGUUGAAUUCGAUUUACAUUCACUUCUA